rnacentral:rRNA from 2 species
AAAACGACUCUCGGCAACGGAUAUCUCGGCUCACGCAUCGAUGAAGAACGUAGCAAAAUGCGAUACCUGGUGUGAAUUGCAGAAUCCCGUGAACCAUCGAGUUUUUGAACGCAAGUUGCGCCCGAAGCCAUCCGGCCGAGGGCACGUCUGCCUGGGCGUCACGC